UUUUUUUUAAUUGCUCCGGUCUGAAUGAAUAGAAUCCUCAAAAUCAAAGUGAAACUUACAGAGUAAAUCAGGAACUGUUUUGGCUACGAAGCCACUGAAGAAGUUGUUGAUGCAUUUUCCCAGUCCUUUUCCCCAUUUCGACUGCCACAACGACUUGGAGACAAGAAGCCUUCUACAGACUCGGAUCUAAAUGGACAUAGAUGAAGACCUUCUAAUUCCGCCUUCAAAUGCAAAAAAGAAAAAGUCAUUGAAAGUUUUGUCUCAAGUCCUGGGACCUGAACGAUUCCUUCUUCUGGACAUAUUCCAUAGACCUGUUGAGCGGUGAAAGUGACCAGAACCUCCUUUAUGCUCCCUCCUUUAUGCUGUAUUAGCAUCUACCUAAGACUCAGAAACAUGUAGUGGCUUAUCCUCCGUUGUGCUAACAUUAGGGCAAUAGAUCAAUUUUGUACUAUAACUUUAAGUUUAGCUUUAUAUUGUA